GAUGAACGCUAGCGGCAGGCUUAAUACAUGCAAGUCAAGGGGGUAGCAAUACAACCGGCGCACGGGUGAGUAACACGUACACAACAUACCAUAUACUGAGGUAUAGCUUCGGGAAACUGAAGGUAAUCCCUCAUAGUAUUGUGAAAGGGCAUCUUUUUACAAUUAAAGUUUCGACGGUAUAUGAUUGGUGUGCGUUUGAUUAGCUAGUUGGUAGGGUAACGGCCUACCAAGGCAACGAUCAAUAGCUGGCGUGAGAGCGCGACCAGCCACACUGGAACUGAGACACGGUCCAGACUCCUACGGGAGGCAGCAGUAGGGAAUAUUGGACAAUGGGCGAAAGCCUGAUCCAGCCAUGCCGCGUGAUAGAUGAAGGCCCUCUGGGUUGUAAAUAUCUUUUAUCUGGGAAGAAACACUUCUAUUCUUAGAAGCUUGACGGUACCAGAGGAAUAAGCACCGGCUAACUCCGUGCCAGCAGCCGCGG
rnacentral:rRNA from 1 species